CACGUAGGGUGCGAGCGUUUGUCCGGAAUUAUUGGGCGUAAAGAGCUCGUAGGCGGCCUGUCGCGUCGGUUGUGAAAGCCCGGGGCUCAACCCCGGGUCUGCAGUCGAUACGGGCAGGCUAGAGUUCGGUAGGGGAGAUCGGAAUUCCUGGUGUAGCGGUGAAAUGCGCAGAUAUCAGGAGGAACACCGGUGGCGAAGGCGGAUCUCUGGGCCGAUACUGACGCUGAGGAGCGAAAGCGUGGGGAGCGAACAGG
rnacentral:rRNA from 1 species